CAGCCGGUACGCAGCGCCGCUCCGGUUGCCGAGGCCGAGGCCGCGGUCGGGACAGCGGGCCAGGGUAGGCCAUGGCCGUCAGUCAGCUGGAGCCCGGCGCCGUCGCCGAGCGGCCAUUGCACGGCUCUCUGGUCACCUCCAACCUGAGUGUCCCGCAUGGCACCGUUGACGGUCCCCGCGGCUGCGAGAAUGGCGCCCUGAUGGGCAACUUCGGCAUGUUCAUCCAAGGCUUACUCGGAGUGGUGGCCUUCAGCCUCCUGAUGUUGAAACGUUUUCGAGAACCAAAGUACGAGAGGCGACCGUGGAAGAUAUGGUUUUUAGAUACCUCAAAGCAGGCUAUUGGCAUGCUGUUUAUCCACUUUGCCAACGUCUACUUGUCCGACUUGACUGAAGAGGACCCAUGUUCAUUGUAUCUAAUUAAUUUUCUUCUGGAUGCCACUCUUGGUAUGCUCCUGAUCUAUGCUGGAGUGCGAACUGUAGGUGUCCUAGUUGAAUGCCAACAUUGGGAUUCUCUUCGUUUUGGAGAGUAUGGAGACCCACUGGAAUGCAGUGCCUGGAUUGGACAGUGCGCACUUUACUUACUGAUUAUGAUGUUGGAGAAGACUGUGGUGAUUAUCGUGCUGCUUUUACCUCAGUGGAGGAAGGUGGCUCUACUUAAUCCAAUCCAGAACCCACAGUUGGAGCUGGCUAUUGUGAUGCUGAUUGUCCCUUUCUUUGUCAAUGCAUUAAUGUUUUGGGUGGUGGAUAAUUUUCUAAUGAGGAAAGGCAAAACUAAAGCUAAACUGGAAGAAGAAGGUGGCGAGGAUGAUUCUAGAAGUAGCAACAAAGUUAGAUACAGAAGAGCAGCAUCACACGAGGAGUCUGAGUCUGAGAUUCUCAUUUCGCCAGAUGAUGAGUUGGAAGAAUCUGAAGGAGAUGAAGACCUGAGGAGAUUGGCAAACGUAAAGGCCGUUAAGAAGAAGUUGCGAUUUGGGGUUCUCCCAGUAUGACCCAGAAUGACCACAGUGCUCUAGUCCUUGGAGUUAUGAGGAGAAUCAUGCCAAUGCAGACGGAAUAUUUUCCUUGCUGCAAACUACACUGUGAAAAUGAGAUUUGUACAAUGUGUGGAGCAGCACCGGGAUCGGAAAGAAGAUUGGGGCGAGGCUGACGUACUUUGUGCUUGUGGUCUCAGCUCCCCUCUUUGCACUGAUACCAAACAUUCCUGAUCAAUGUUACCUAUUAUUUGCACAUGGAUGAUGUUCAGGGCCGUUGGGUGCAGGAGAACAGAUUUCUUUCAGCACGUCAAGUUUUGAUCCCUUGUUGUGUAAAUUAACAAAACAUUGCCCUGGAUUAUUACUGAUCUUAAAGCUGUCCUUUAGCUGAAUUUUAAGUUUGAGAAUUUGAGAAGGUGAUAUAGGCUUGAAUUGUUUUAAAGUGAAUAUGAGGUACAUACUAUUUUCUUUAGAAAUGUCUUCUAAUUAUUUAAAAUUGUACAAUCUCCAUGUACCAGUGCUCAGCAUAGCGACAGAUCUUUUCCAAACUGAGCAAACUAAGAGUUGGAAUUGCAUGAAGUCGCUACAGCUCUGUUGCAGUCAUUGCCAGGGUACCAAUCAAUGCUAUUCUCAGCUGUUCUCAAUCCAUCUCAUGUAGCAGAAUGGUAGACUACACAUCAGAGGGUCCUCACUCCAUGGCAUGUUUUCUCCCCACAGUUUGUGUGCCUGUCACUUUUGGGGAUAUUAUUGUGGGCAGAUGCAUCUGACCCGUAGUUUAUGGACUGCAAGUUGACGUGGGUUUUCUCAUCAUUGUUCUCACUACCAACCUGACCCCAGCCUGGCAGAGCUCAGCCAGUCCUUGUAAUGAACACUGAAGUUCCUCACUCAGUUUAUGUCCCAUGCCUUGCUAUUCAUAAUUCUUCUAAGUUGCACCAAUUAUGGAAGAGUUGCUUGCUCAUCAGUUGAGCAAGGAUAAUAGUUAGUCAUAAGCAGGAUUCAUUGCCCUUGUUUGAUCUGGAGAGUGAAUUGGUAUGUAUAGGUCCAGCAGGCCAACACACACCCUCUAUAGCUUAGUCACAUCCUACACUAUGCUGACCAGAACUGCACACAAUAUUCCACGUGCCGUCUCACUCUCAUCUCGUACAAUUGUAACGUUGCCCUGACUCUUGUACUCGGUGCCCUGACCAAUGAAGACAAGUGUGCCAAACGCCUUCUUCACCACCUUGUCUAACUAUGUUGCCAGUUUCAGGCAACCAUGACGGGCACUGCCUGACUUGCAUAAUAGACAAACGUAUGUAAGCAAGUCUUGAAGCCCACUGUUUUAUUUUCAAGUUGCAAGUCUCGGGAGCAAAGGGCUACUGCCGUCGCAUGCGGCCAUUUCCACAAGCUAUUUAGUCGGCUGUUCUUGCAGAUGCUCCCAUGUGGUCUCUGCGUUGAGAAGUACAUUUAUGCGUGUGAAGUAGCGCUUCCAUUUCCCACUUGGGAUGCAACCCUUAGUGAGUUGGGGAGCAUCUAUACUUGCAUCCCUCGGUUGCUGUUCUACAACAUGUUCUAGGGACCUGACAUUCAGUGUAUAUCCUGCUCUGGUUUAACUUCCAAAAACUUCCAAAAACGUCAUCUGCCAUUUCCUCCGCCUGCUUUCCCAACCAAUCCUGUAUAGACUUUCAGUUCAGUAAAUUGUGUUUUGUACUUCCUUUCCAUAGAUGAGAUUAGCAGGUAUACUUUAUGCAAGAUUAUGCCUCAAAUUUAGGCAGCAUUUUUAUCUUAUUGAAGGAUUUAACAACAGCUGUUAAAGGCUGUCGGUGUAAUUGGUAACAGAAUGGCCACAACAGGUACAACUGGAUUUAGAUGUUUUAUUGCUUGGUACUAAUAUAUUCAAUUGGGUCAUCCGUCAUUCCUCUAGUAUGGUUUAUAUACUGCACAAACUCCUGAAUCAGUGAAUCAGCAAAAUGCCACUUUGGCAAUCAGGAAGAGUUAAUUAUAUUUGAAAAUGUCUGGGAGUUGAGUAUAAGCUGUAUGUACCUUGUAUUUUACUUUAUAUUAAAGUAUUGGGAAUUUCAAACUACUUUUCUGGUGCCUG